GACGAACGCUGGCGGCGUGCUUAACACAUGCAAGUCGAACGGAAAGGCCCUGCUUUUGUGGGGUGCUCGAGUGGCGAACGGGUGAGUAACACGUGAGUAACCUGCCCUUGACUUUGGGAUAACUUCAGGAAACUGGGGCUAAUACCGGAUAGGAGCUCCUGCUGCAUGGUGGGGGUUGGAAAGUUUCGGCGGUUGGGGAUGGACUCGCGGCUUAUCAGCUUGUUGGUGGGGUAGUGGCUUACCAAGGCUUUGACGGGUAGCCGGCCUGAGAGGGUGACCGGCCACAUUGGGACUGAGAUACGGCCCAGACUCCUACGGGAGGCAGCAGUGGGGAAUAUUGCACAAUGGGCGGAAGCCUGAGGCAGAAACGCCGCGUGCGGGAUGACGGCCUUCGGGUUGUAAAACGCUUUCGCCUGUGACGAAGCGUGAGUGACGGUAAUGGGUAAAGAAGCACCGGCUAACUACGUG
rnacentral:rRNA from 1 species